rnacentral:rRNA from 1 species
GUCGAACGGAAAGGCCCUGCUUUUGUGGGGUGCUCGAGUGGCGAACGGGUGAGUAACACGUGAGUAACCUGCCCUUGACUUUGGGAUAACUUCAGGAAACUGGGGCUAAUACCGGAUAGGAGCUCCUGCUGCAUGGUGGGGGUUGGAAAGUUUCGGCGGUUGGGGAUGGACUCGCGGCUUAUCAGCUUGUUGGUGGGGUAGUGGCUUACCAAGGCUUUGACGGGUAGCCGGCCUGAGAGGGUGACCGGCCACAUUGGGACUGAGAUACGGCCCAGACUCCUACGGGAGGCAGCAGUGGGGAAUAUUGCACAAUGGGCGGAAGCCUGAUGCAGCAACGCCGCGUGCGGGAUGACGGCCUUCGGGUUGUAAACCGCUUUCGCCUGUGACGAAGCGUGAGUGACGGUAAUGGGUAAAGAAGCACCGGCUAACUACGUGCCAGCAGCCGCGGUGAUACGUAGGGUGCGAGCGUUGUCCGGAUUUAUUGGGCGUAAAGGGCUCGUAGGUGGUUGAUCGCGUCGGAAGUGUAAUCUUGGGGCUUAACCCUGAGCGUGCUUUCGAUACGGGUUGACUUGAGGAAGGUAGGGGAGAAUGGAAUUCCUGGUGGAGCGGUGGAAUGCGCAGAUAUCAGGAGGAACACCAGUGGCGAAGGCGGUUCUCUGGGCCUUUCCUGACGCUGAGGAGCGAAAGCGUGGGGAGCGAACAGGCUUAGAUACCCUGGUAGUCCACGCUGUAAACGGUGGGUACUAGGUGUGGGGUCCAUUCCACGGGUUCCGUGCCGUAGCUAACGCUUUAAGUACCCCGCCUGGGGAGUACGGCCGCAAGGCUAAAACUCAAAGGAAUUGACGGGGCCCCGCACAAGCGGCGGAGCAUGCGGAUUAAUUCGAUGCAACGCGUAGAACCUUACCUGGGUUUGACAUGGAUCGGGAGUGCUCAGAGAUGGGUGUGCCUCUUUUGGGGUCGGUUCACAGGUGGUGCAUGGCUGUCGUCAGCUCGUGUCGUGAGAUGUUGGGUUAAGUCCCGCAACGAGCGCAACCCUUGUUCACUGUUGCCAGCACGUUAUGGUGGGGACUCAGUGGAGACCGCCGGGGUCAACUCGGAGGAAGGUGGGGAUGACGUCAAGUCAUCAUGCCCCUUAUGUCCAGGGCUUCACGCAUGCUACAAUGGCUGGUACAGAGAGUGGCGAGCCUGUGAGGGUGAGCGAAUCUCGGAAAGCCGGUCUCAGUUCGGAUUGGGGUCUGCAACUCGACCUCAUGAAGUCGGAGUCGCUAGUAAUCGCAGAUCAGCAACGCUGCGGUGAAUACGUUCCCGGGGCUUGUACACACCGCCCGUCAAGUCAUGAAAGUUGGUAACACCCGAAGCCGGUGGCCUAACCGUUGUGGGGGAGCCGUCGAAGGUGGGACUGGUGAUUAGGACUAAGUC